rnacentral:rRNA from 1 species
UACGGGGGGGGCAAGCGUUGUUCGGAAUUACUGGGCGUAAAGGGCGCGUAGGCGGUUCGCUAAGUUGAAUGUGAAAACUCUGGGCUUAACCCAGGGCCUGCAUCCAAAACUGGCGAACUGGAGUACUGGAGGGGAAAGCGGAAUUCCUGGUGUAGCGGUGAAAUGCGUAGAUAUCAGGAGGAACACCGGUGGCGAAGGCGGCUUUCUGGACAGUAACUGACGCUGAGGCGCGAAAGCCGGGGGAGCAAACAGG